AUGAACGCUGGCGGCGUGCCUAAUACAUGCAAGUCGAACGCAUAGCGAAAGGUGCUUGCACCUUUCAAGUGAGUGGCGAACGGGUGAGUAACACGUGGACAACCUGCCUCAAGGCUGGGGAUAACAUUUGGAAACAGAUGCUAAUACCGAAUAAAACUUAGUGUCGCAUGACACAAAGUUAAAAGGCGCUUCGGCGUCACCUAGAGAUGGAUCCGCGGUGCAUUAGUUAGUUGGUGGGGUAAAGGCCUACCAAGACAAUGAUGCAUAGCCGAGUUGAGAGACUGAUCGGCCACAUUGGGACUGAGACACGGCCCAAACUCCUACGGGAGGCUGCAGUAGGGAAUCUUCCACAAUGGGCGAAAGCCUGAUGGAGCAACGCCGCGUGUGUGAUGAAGGCUUUCGGGUCGUAAAGCACUGUUGUAUGGGAAGAACAGCUAGAAUAGGAAAUGAUUUUAGUUUGACGGUACCAUACCAGAAAGGGACGGCUAAAUACGUGCCAGCAGCCGCGGUAAUACGUAUGUCCCGAGCGUUAUCCGGAUUUAUUGGGCGUAAAGCGAGCGCAGACGGUUUAUUAAGUCUGAUGUGAAAGCCCGGAGCUCAACUCCGGAAUGGCAUUGGAAACUGGUUAACUUGAGUGCAGUAGAGGUAAGUGGAACUCCAUGUGUAGCGGUGGAAUGCGUAGAUAUAUGGAAGAACACCAGUGGCGAAGGCGGCUUACUGGACUGCAACUGACGUUGAGGCUCGAAAGUGUGGGUAGCAAACAGGAUUAGAUACCCUGGUAGUCCACACCGUAAACGAUGAACACUAGGUGUUAGGAGGUUUCCGCCUCUUAGUGCCGAAGCUAACGCAUUAAGUGUUCCGCCUGGGGAGUACGACCGCAAGGUUGAAACUCAAAGGAAUUGACGGGGACCCGCACAAGCGGUGGAGCAUGUGGUUUAAUUCGAAGCAACGCGAAGAACCUUACCAGGUCUUGACAUCCUUUGAAGCUUUUAGAGAUAGAAGUGUUCUCUUCGGAGACAAAGUGACAGGUGGUGCAUGGUCGUCGUCAGCUCGUGUCGUGAGAUGUUGGGUUAAGUCCCGCAACGAGCGCAACCCUUAUUGUUAGUUGCCAGCAUUCAGAUGGGCACUCUAGCGAGACUGCCGGUGACAAACCGGAGGAAGGCGGGGACGACGUCAGAUCAUCAUGCCCCUUAUGACCUGGGCUACACACGUGCUACAAUGGCGUAUACAACGAGUUGCCAACCCGCGAGGGUGAGCUAAUCUCUUAAAGUACGUCUCAGUUCGGAUUGUAGUCUGCAACUCGACUACAUGAAGUCGGAAUCGCUAGUAAUCGCGGAUCAGCACGCCGCGGUGAAUACGUUCCCGGGUCUUGUACACACCGCCCGUCACACCAUGGGAGUUUGUAAUGCCCAAAGCCGGUGGCCUAACCUUUUAGGAAGGAGCCGUCUAAGGCAGGACAGAUGACUGGGGUG
rnacentral:rRNA from 1 species